CCUACGGGGUGCAGCAGUCGAGAAUCAUUCACAAUGGGGGAAACCCUGAUGGUGCGACGCCGCGUGGGGGAAUGAAGGUCUUCGGAUUGUAAACCCCUGUCAUGUGGGAGCAAAUUAAAAAGAUAGUACCACAAGAGGAAGAGACGGCUAACUCUGUGCCAGCAGCCGCGGUAAUACAGAGGUCUCAAGCGUUGUUCGGAAUCACUGGGCGUAAAGCGUGCGUAGGCGGUUUCGUAAGUCGUGUGUGAAAGGCGGGGGCUCAACCCGCGGACGGCACAUGAUACUGGGAGACUAGAGUAAUGGAGGGGGAACCGGAAUUCUCGGUGUAGCAGUGAAAUGCGUAGAUAUCGAGAGGAACACUCGUGGCGAAGGCGGGUUCCUGGACAUUAACUGACGCUGAGGCACGAAGGCCAGGGGAGCGAAAGGGAUUAGAUACCCGAGUAGUC
rnacentral:rRNA from 1 species